rnacentral:rRNA from 1 species
GUGUAGGUGGCUUUGUAAGUCAGGAGUGAAAGCCCUGGGCUCAAACCCAGGAAGUGCUUUUGAUACUGCGAAGCUUGAGUGUGGGAGAGGAUCGUGGAAUUCCAGGUGUAGUGGUGAAAUACGUAGAUAUCUGGAGGAACACCGGUGGCGAAGGCGGCGAUCUGGCCCAACACUGACACUCAAGACCCGAAAGUGCGGGAUCAAACA